rnacentral:rRNA from 1 species
GUGCAAAGGUAGCAUAAUCAUUUGGUUCUUAAAUGGGAUCUUGUAUGAAGGGGUUAACGAAAAUUAGCUGUCUUAAAAGAAUAUUUUGAAUUUUAACUUUUUGUAAUAAUGCAAAAAUUUAAUUAAGGGACGAUAAGACCCUAUAAAGCUUUAUUUUAAUUAUAAAUUAGGAGUAUUACUAUUUUAUUUAAUAAAUUUUACUGGGGCGGUAGCUUAAAACUAAGUUAAAAAAUUUUGAUCCAAUAUUAUUGAUUAAAAGAUUAAGUUACUUUAGGGAUAACAGCAUAAUACAUUUAGGGAGUUCAAAUCGAAGAGUGGGAUUGUGACCUCGAUGUUGAAUU